UUUGACAUUCUCUGUGAGGGAGUCUGCGUUUCGGCCGCAGAAUAGGAGUUGGAAACUUCUGUCAAAU
rnacentral:tRNA from 1 species